UACGGAGGGUGCAAGCGUUGUUCGGAAUCACUGGGCGUAAAGCGCGUGUAGGCGGCCUCCUCAGUCUGGUGUGAAAGCCCGGGGCUCAACCCCGGAAGUGCAUUGGAUACUGGGAGGCUGGAGUACCGGAGAGGAGGGUGGAAUUCCUGGUGUAGCGGUGAAAUGCGUAGAUAUCAGGAGGAACACCGGUGGCGAAGGCGGCCCUCUGGACGGAUACUGACGCUGAGACGCGACAGCGUGGGGAGCAAACAGG
rnacentral:rRNA from 1 species